UACAGAGACUGCAAGCGUUAUUCGGAUUCACUGGGCGUAAAGGGUGCGCAGGCGGCCGAGUGUGUGAGGCAUGAAAGCCCGGGGCUUAACCCCGGAAUUGCACCUCAAACUACACGGCUAGAGCAUUGGAGAGGGUAGCAGAAUUCAUGGUGUAGCAGUGAAAUGCGUAGAUAUCAUGAGGAAUACCAGAGGCGAAGGCGGCUACCUGGACAAUUGCUGACGCUCAGGCACGAAAGCGUGGGGAGCAAAAGGG
rnacentral:rRNA from 1 species